rnacentral:rRNA from 1 species
AUUGAACGCUGGCGGCAUGCCUUACACAUGCAAGUCGAACGGCAGCACGGGUGCUUGCACCUGUUGGCGAGUGGCGAACGGGUGAGUAAUACAUCGGAACAUGUCCUGUAGUGGGGGAUAGCCCGGCGAAAGCCGGAUUAAUACCGCAUACGAUCUACGGAUGAAAGCGGGGGACCGUCGGGCCUCGCGCUAUAGGGUUGGCCGAUGGCUGAUUAGCUAGUUGGUGGGGUAAAGGCCUACCAAGGCGACGAUCAGUAGCUGGUCUGAGAGGACGACCAGCCACACUGGGACUGAGACACGGCCCAGACUCCUACGGGAGGCAGCAGUGGGGAAUUUUGGACAAUGGGCGAAAGCCUGAUCCAGCAAUGCCGCGUGUGUGAAGAAGGCCUUCGGGUUGUAAAGCACUUUUGUCCGGAAAGAAAACCUUGGCCCUAAUACGGUCGGGGGAUGACGGUACCGGAAGAAUAAGCACCGGCUAACUACGUG